AGAGAAAAUAAAAUAAAUGGCAUUUCAAAUGACCUAACUGAUGAUCAAAUGAAAGAUACAAUGUGAAGAUCAAUGUGGAUAAUGCUUCAAUCUUUUUUUCUUUUUUAAUCAUCUUUUGUGUGUAUUCCUAAGAAUGAACACUCUCUUGUGAGACUCUUCUGUGGCCAGAUCUAGGUGUGUGUUUAUGCAUCACAAGCAAGGAAGCCCAUACUGGACCCUGGUGACUAACAUCUUGGCUUGUGAGCCCUUGGCUACAAAGCAGAGAGACCCAUGAUCCGUGCACCAUAGCUGAUUAAAUUAUUCUCCAAUCAUGAAGAUCUUUGCCUUGUCCCUCUGGAUCAUCUUUAAAAAGAAUAAGUGACUCAAUGUGAUCAUAAGAUGAAACAAGGGCAAUCGAACUCAGGACCCUGCGCUUGCAAGGCAGGUGGUGGAACCACUGAGCUAAAUCCCCAGCCCACCGUGAAAGAAACACUUAAUGUUUUGUAUCCUUGUUUUAAUAGGAGAUAGUAUAGAGUACCAUGCUAGUAUGAAAUUUUUUGCUUGGUAUUUUCAUGGAUUAUUACAUGGAUUAUUAUUUUUCUGUCUCAGACACUAGUUGUACUGAGCUUAUUUAUUUGCAG
rnacentral:lncRNA from 1 species